UCCUCAGCAAACAAAAGCAAGCACACACUGAAACAGCAAGGUCAAAAAGCUGUGCGGUUCCAGUCAGCCACACCUCCACCAGAUCCAGCAACAUUUUGGAAAAACUGUCCAUACACAUCUUUCAUGUACUACGGAAGCAUCUCCAACAUGGGAAAGAACUGCGCGUGGACGAUUGUCCAGGAGCCAAACCCCAACCACCCUGACAACCUGAGGCUGAUUCUGAGGAUGGUCCCAACACCAACCCACAUCAGCAGCCCUAACCCCAAACCCUCACCCUUGUCCUCAACUGGCUCCUCAGCCUGCUCUUCACCCUUGUCCUCACCCUGCUCCUCACCCUUGUCCUCAACUGGCU